GCGAGAGUGGCGGAAUUGGUAGACGCACUAGACUUAGGAUCUAGCGCCUUAGUGUGUGGGGGUUCAAAUCCCCCCUCUCGCACCA
rnacentral:tRNA from 1 species